AGGUCACUGCUAUCGGAGUUCGACUAAACCAUGCGAGUCGUGGGGUGCCCUUCGGGGUAACCCCGGCGGACUGCUCAGUAACACGUGGAUAACCUACCCUUGGGACGGGGAUAACCCCGGGAAACUGGGGAUAAUAUCCGAUAGGUCACAGAUGCUGGAAUGCCCUGUGGCUGAAAACCUUUCGGGGGCCCAAGGAUGGGUCUGCGGCCCAUUAGGCUGUUGUCAGUGUAAUGAACUGACAAACCUAUGAUGGGUACGGGCACUGAGAGGUGGAGCCCGGAGAUGGGUUCUGAGACAUGAACCCAGGGUCUACGGACCGCAGCAGGCGCGAAAACUUCGCAAUGUGCGAAAGCACGACGAGGGGACUCCGAGUGUCCGUACCUAGUACGGACUGUUCGGAUGUCUAAACAACAUCUGGAGUAAGGGCCGGGUAAGACAGGUGCCAGCCGCCGCGGUAACACCUGCGGCCCGAGUGGUGGCCGCUUUUAUUGGGUUUAAAGGGUCCGUAGCCGGCCUGGCAAGUCCUUUGGGAAAUCUGGCAGCCUAACUGUCAGGAGACUAAAGGAUACUACUGGGCUUGGGACCGGGUGAGGCUAGAGGUACCCCAGGGGUAGCGGUGAAAUGCUGUAAUCCUUGGGGGACCACCAGUGGCGAAGGCGUCUAGCCAGAACGGGUCCGACGGUGAGGGACGAAAGCUAGGGGCGCGAACGGGAUUAGAUACCCCGGUAGUCCUAGCCGUAAACGAUGCGAGCUUUGUGUCGGCCUCGACGCGAUCGGGGCCGGUGCCGUAGGGAAGCUGUUAAGCUCGCCACCUGGGGAGUAUGGUCGCAAGGCUGAAACUUAAAGGAAUUGGCGGGGGAGCACCACAACGGGUGGAGCCUGCGGUUCAAUUGGAUUCAACGCCGGGAACCUCACCGGGUGCGACAGUUGGAUGAAGGUCAAGCUGAAGACUUUACCAGACUAGCUGAGAGGAGGUGCAUGGCCGUCGACAGUUCGUAUCGUGAGACAUCCUGUUAAGUCAGGCAACGAGCGAGACCCGCGCCCACAGUUACCAGCUUGUGCCCCGGCACAAGGGUACUCUGCGGGGACCGCCUCUGCUAAAGAGGAGGAAGGAGCGGGCUACGGUAGGUCAGUAUGCCCCGAAUCUCCCGGGCUACACGCGGGUUACAAUGGUUGGGACAAUGGGACUCGACCCCGAGAGGGGAAGGUAAUCUCCUAAACUCAACCCAAGUACAGAUUGAGGGCUGCAACUCGCCCUCAUGAAGCUGGAAUCCGUAGUAAUCGCAGUUCAACAUACUGCGGUGAAUACGUCCCUGCUCCUUGCACACACCGCCCGUCAAACCACCCGAGCGGGGUCUGAAUGAGGCUCUUGCAUCAGCAAGAAUCGAAUUUAGGUUCUGUAAGGGGGGUU
rnacentral:rRNA from 1 species